rnacentral:snRNA from 14 species
AUCUGUUCUUAUCAGUUUAAUAUCUGAUGCAUCCUCUAGCCAAGGACAGUAUUUUAAAUGGAUUUUUGGAACUAGGAGGUGGAAUAGGAGCUUGCUCCCUCCACUCCACACAUCGACCUGGUAUUGUAGUGCUUCCAGGACACUGC